CGACCACCGGGACGCGAUGAACCUCGGACCGUGCAACGGUCGCCCACCAAAGCCCUCCGGGGCUGGAGGUCCGAGGGGAGCGAGUGGCGAGACCGACCCGGACCG
ncrna:unclassified sequences c-di-GMP-II-GAG riboswitch